rnacentral:lncRNA from 1 species
GCCCGACUCGGCCGGACUCGCGGCAUCCUGUGCACUGGGGAGGCCCUCGGAGGGUCCGCGAAGCAAAGGCUCCUGCCAACUUCUCCGUCCUGCCCAGACUCAAGUCUGCUGUGAUUUAAAUAGGCAAAUAGAUCUACACCUACACAAUAACUUAGCUUGUUUGGUCUUCGGUAUUUUCUACAAGACUCCAAGAGAUGGACUCUCUCCAUCCUCCCUCUAGAACCCACAUCCUCCAUCUCUUUCUAUGUAGGCCCUGUUAUCCAGAUCCUUGAGGUUCCAAUGGGCUCUGAGUUACUGGGACGAGGAUUACUUGGCUGAAUCGCACCAUUUAAUUAGAUUUUCUUUCUUUACCUUUUCUUUUAGAGAGGGCUUGGUUUAGCCCCCUCACUGAGGCGGAGUAGCCGGGACUAGGAAAGGAAAACCUUACAGCGACCCAGCUUCCAGCCCCUGGCAGAGAUCUCCAGGCUCCGCAGAGCCAGUCAGGGCUCCCUUCCUCUCCUCGGCCUCUCCGCCGCCUCCUCCUCCUCCGGUUGCGCUUUCCUCCUCCCACUGUCUUCCUUUCUGCUUAAUUAAAGUUCAGCGACUCCACUUGCCUCUCCUUGAGUUUCCCUCCGAAGGCGGAAACCAGACUGCCCAGCGGCCGAGCAGCCCCAACUCAUCCCAGGCCCGCAGCCAGAGGGGCCUCCCCGCGCCCGCCUCCCAGUGCCGGCGACCUCGAAUCCGGGCUCGGCCUCUCCACUGUCCAGCAGAAAGGAGAGGUUGAGGCGCCUUGGAUUUUCCUUCUGGAGAGUAGAGCCCAGCGGAUAUCUGUAAAGGAAGUGAAGACCGAGGUCCGGGUUUCUGCAGUGUCAGCCUCCUUCUCUCCAGGCCUCUCCACUUGCCCAGUUCUCACCCACCAGGACACUGACGCAAGGGGCUUCUGGGCUGGCCCCCACCCACUCCUGCUUGGCUUCCCAAAGUCCAGCGACCUCCAGCCCUCCUUGGGGAAAAAAAUACCUGUACCCAGGCACCUUAGCCCCCUGUGCUCUGUGACUGGGCUCCCUCAGGAAUACUGCACAAAGAAGAAGAAAGAACAGCUCGCGCGGGGAGCCGUGUUUACAUCUAGUUCUACUGAUCCAUCCACAUCUGGAGGGUUUAUUUAUAACUCCUUCUAUAACUCUUUCUGUUCGGAGGCACUGGUGGCUCUAUUGACAGACUGAUGCCUACAAAAUAUUGCUGUAUCUCUAACCAUACCUAAAUGUUCUGUGGUUGUAUUUACAGAUUUAUGCUUGAGGAAAAUAUAAUUAUUUCCAUUGUAUUUGUGCAUAUACAAUAGUUAUAGGAGCAGAUUUAUAUAUGGGAAAAUAUAUGGCUCUCUUACAGCCA